rnacentral:lncRNA from 1 species
CCAGACUCGUUUCCAUGGUAACGGCCACCAAAGUUGGUACAUUACGGGUAUGCAUAAAUACAUACCUGAUGUAAAAAACCUGGAUUUUUUUCAAGCUUUUGAAAGUAUUUUGAAAGGUUUGUUCUUCAUUUAUUACAAAAAUAUUAUUAAAAAUGUAAAUAAAACACAAAUAAUGGCAGUUUUAUUCAUAUUCAUUAAUUUCGGCUCCAAUUUCAUUAACACUGCUGCACACAAAAAACACAGAUUUUGUUAAAAAUUUCUAUUUUUCUGAAAAUUCCAAAAAAAUGGUCCAAUGAAUUUUUUUUUAAAUUUGACAGAUGAUGGUCAUAACAAUGAGCUUUAAAAAAAUAUAAUAAAAAAAUAUGGGUCACCAGACUAUUUUUUGACUGAAAAACGUUUUUGUGACCCCUAACGACACAGUGAUCAACAGCUGUUAUUUAUAUAUCUUUCAAAAUCAGUGUAAAAAGUGUGACACAUGUUGUCAUGUCCUUUGUUAAACUUACACAGAAUAAUACAGUUCCAAAAGACAAUGAAAUGAAAGCAUUUGUGUGUCUCUAUGAACAAUGGUUACCAUGGCAACAGGACAAGAAGUUGGAAAAUUCAAGUUUUUGCAUUGUUCUGAUGUGCAAGAGUUACUACCUAACAGACAAAAAGAGAUCAAAUACCAUUAUUUCAGAGCUACAACACAUGGCUUCUAUGUAAAUGUAAACAAAUUUAUAUUAUGUUACACUGUAAUGUAGCUUAUAUAAGCAUUACUGUGGUCAAAAAUGAGCAAAAUAGAUAAGUCAGAAGUUUGCCAAAAUCUCCCUACUUUUUGUUUCAAUUAUCGAUUCAUAGACAACAGUUAUGCAAGUAAAUGGAUUAAAAAAAGUGUCAAGACUUUUUCACCCUGUC